UGCUCGGGCCCCUGCACCCACAUGGGAGACCUAGAGGAGGCUCCUGGUUCCUGGCUUUGGAUCAUUGCAGCUCUGGCCGUUGUGGCCAUCUGUGGAGUAAACCAGCUGAUGGAAGACCUCCCUGUCUCUCUUUGUCUGCCUCUGCCCCUUUGUGACUCUGCCUUUCAAAUAAAUCAAUAAAUCUUAAAAAAAAAAAAAAAAGAAUAGCUGCUAACACCACAUAAAAUUUUCCCUCUUCCGGAUUUCAUUUUUCCCUUCUAUCAUUGAAUCAGUGAGCUUCCUGAUCACCUUCACACCAUUCUUCCCCUCCUCAUUCCUUCACUGGACAGCUCCUUCUGACUCCCACUGUUAGCAGAGUGAAUACAUCUUCCUUUCCUUUUGCAUUCUGACCUUUGUGACUAGCCUUACAUCUCCAACUCUGAAGAGAAUACAUCUCUCUUUUUCACAUUCUAAUUCACAAAGGCUAACUGAAAUCUUGGGACUAAUCAGAAUAUUUGUUCAACAUAUGAAUAAUGCUUGCUUAAUAAUUCCAGGGACUGAGUGCAGGGAAAUGGGAAAAAUGGUGAGACCCCAGAUAAGGAAUUAUUUACAAUCACUAACUACAAAUAGUCAAUUUUACAUCAAAGGAACUUCGCCUAACUGAUGUCAAAAUGAUUGACUUGGGAACCUGCUGACCGUCAACUGAACCCUUUAUCCUCCCUAACACCCCUACUUGCCUUUCUCUUUUAAAAGGUCUGCUAACUUGCAGAUGAGCAAAAGCUAAAGAUCUCUGCCUUUCCUCUCUUCAUGACUGCUAGCCUCUUGAAUAAACCUGUUGCCUCUCCUCAACUCUUGUCACUGAUGAAUUGUCUGACCACUCUGUCAGAUACACCCACAUCUACUACAUUCUCUUCAGUCUUCACUUUUCUCCCUUAGGCAGGUCUGUCUGCUCAUAUGAUUACUACCUGUCUCCCCAUCUCCACCCCUGUUCCUUAAUAGGCUUUAGGGGAACAGCUUGAGAUAGCAGUUAAGAGCACAGACUCUGAAGUUCAACUAACUGGGCUCAAAUACCACUUCUGCCAUUGACUUACCCAAUGCAUCAGGGAAAUCCCCUAGCUCCUUAAUUUCUUUAUAUGCAAAAUAUUACCUACCUCAUGUCAUUCUAAGAACAAACAUCACAUAUCAGAGUGCCCAUGUUUGAGCCCCAAUUCUGCUUCUGAUCCAACAUUAUGCUAAUGGACAUCCUAGGAGGCAUUAGGUGAUGCCUCAAAUACAUGGGUCCCUGCCACCCAUAGAUUUUGGCUCCUGGCUGUGAUCUGACCCAGACUUGACUAUUGUGGGCAUCUGGGGGAUAAAGCAGUGGAUAGAAGACAUUCUCUCUCUCUCUCUCUCUCACUUUCCACCUUUAUAACUUGCAAAUAAAUAAAUAAAAAUUUUAAUAAAGAAAUGUUAACUCCAUCUUACCUAUUAUACAGAUGAGUAAACUUGUCUGCAGAGAUUAGAUGGUGCCACGAGAGGCUGGCAUGAAAGUUUCUUUUUUUUUUUUUUAACAGGCAGAGUGGACAGUGAGAGAGAGAGACAGAGAGAAAGGUCUUCCUUUUGCCGUUGGUUCACCCUCCAAUGGCUGCUAUGGCUGGCUCAUUGCGCUGAUCUGAAGGCAGGAGCCAGGUGCUUCUCCUGGUCUCCCAUGAGGGUGCAGGGCCCAAGCACUUGGGCCAUCCUCCACUGCACUCCCUGGCCAUAGCAGAGAGCUGGCCUGGAAGAGGGGCAACCGGGACAGAAUCUGGUGCCCCGACUGGAACUAGAACCCGGGGUGCCGGCGCUGCAGGCGGAGGAUUAGCCUAUUGAACCACGGCGCCGGCCAUGCAAGUAUCUUAACUCUUGUCUGCUCUUUCUCUGGGACCCUGAUGUCUUUGCACCCCAGGACUUCCUGGAUAUUCUAUAAAUGCAAUGUGUACUGAACAAAUAUCGAGAAAACUGAUAGCUACUGAGCCCUUAUUUUAAUAUUCUGCUAGACCCUGGAACAUUUUUAAAAAAUGGCUAAAGAAUUGUUCUUACCUUAAGAUACUGUGUCUUGCUGAGAGAGCAUAAGCCUUGGUUUCUUAGAAGCAUUCCCUACUGAAACACUGUUUUUCUUUCAAUUUCCAUGAAUCCAUACUCCCUGUAUAUGUUUUUUGCUGGUUGCUUCUCUACUCCAUUUCAAAAUGUUGUUAUGUGUUUUGUCUGGGUGUUCUCCUUUCCCCUCUGGUUGAUCUCAUUGAGAAAGUUUCAGUCACAAUCUAAGCCAGCAGUUCUUAAAUUUUUGUGUGCAGAAGAAUUUGCACACAAACCAGAGGAGUUUGAAAAAUGAAAAAUUCCUGUAUCCAACACCAAUCUAGACAGAUGACUUAAAUAGGUUUGUAUAUGUUGCUCAGAAAUCUGCCUUUUAAAUAAAUACUCUGAAGGUUCAAAUAGAGAGAGGUAAACCAAAGAUUACACUCUGAGAAACACUGAUCUGUACAUGAUUUCCAAACAGUAAGAUCCAGCUGUAUCCUUCACAUGUCUCCAGGUGCUGCUUUGAACCUUUCCAAAGCUGAAUUGGUUGACUUCUCCUUUGCCAUCAACUAGGUUGUUUCCUGGCAUAUUUUUUUUUCUCAAUGAAUGACACCAGCACCCACCAACUUACUCAUGUGGAAAAUUUGACAAUCAUAUCUGACAUCUCCCUCAUUCCUAAAAUUUAAUUGAACACCAAAUCUGGUCCUUUCUACUUCUAUGACAUGUCUUGAGUUUUAUCAUAGCUUCUACCACUUUCUUGAAAACCAUCUUAAUUCCUUUUCUGAAAUCCCUAUUCCAACUUGUCUCCCUUCAUCAGUGGAUAUCUCUUUUCUCCACAGGGAUUAUUCUCCACAGGGAACCAGUAUUAUCUUUGAAACAAUCUAGCAAAACAAUGUCUCUAUUAUCUUCAAGUCUUAACAAUUUUACAUGUUCCUUUUAAUCCCAAAUCUUUCACACACCAUUCAAAGCCCACCAUGAUCUCUUUCUUGCCUACAUUUAAAUUUCUGCUUCAAUAGUACUUGUGCAGAGAAGUCUUCCAUGAAUUCCUAGAUGGAUUUAUUUCCUUUUAUUAUAUUAUAAUACUUAUUUCAGUGUAAUUAAAAAAUUUAAAUUUUAUCUGAGAGGUAGAGAGACAGGGAGACAGAGGCAGAUAGAGUCCUCCCAUUCAUUAAUCCACUCCCCAAAGGCCUGUAAUAGCCAGGGCUGGACCAAGGCUGGAGCCAGAAUCAGGGAAUUCAGUAUAAAUCUUCCAAGUAGGGAGAAUGGAUGCAACUACUGGAGCCAACACCUGCUGCCUUUCAGGGUCUGCAUUAGUAGGAACCUGGAAUUGUGAUCUGCAGCCAAGAACUGAAUCCCAGACACUCUGAUAAGAUAUGUAGGCACCAUAACUAGUGUGUUAACAAGCAGGCACCUCUAGACAUGCCCACUCCCUCUGUCAUGUCAUUACACCAAUUACACUUCCUCAUGUUAAUCACUGAUCUGAUCCUCUUGGCCAGGAUGAAUGUGAUUUUUCAGCCAAGAUUGUCAUUUGCUUUGCUGAAAUUUCCACAGAAUAAAUGGCUUCAAUGGCAGUUGUCUCCAUUCAUCUUAAUUGACCAAAGUCCUUACAUUUUUAAUUACUCUUAAUACAAGUAUAAUUUGAUAGACAUUUGCUUGUCUAGUUUUUUUGUGUCUGUCUUCCCAAUAAGUAACAUGAAAGCAAGGCUCAGAAAUUUCUGUUCCAGUUCUGAAUGCCUAGUACCAAACAGAUUCCUUACACAAGUUAGACACUCAGAAAGCAGAUAUUAAAUGUUCACUGGGUAAGUAUGUGUUAUAAUAUAAAGAGUAAUAGGAUAAGUGGCAUAAAAUAGAUAUAAAUAAAGUGCUUGUGUAUAAAGCAUUCAAUAUGGUUAGUUUGCUACAUGAUGAUAAAAGUUGCUUUCAAAGCAAGAGCAUUUCCCAGUGAGUGAUAGUGGACUUGAGGGACCACUGGCUGCUCUCAGACAGCUUCAGCUUAUAAAUAAUUAAUCACCCCAGGUGUGGAUGGAUUCACACAGAAAGUAAGUGGAGCCACAGAAGGGAAGAGGUUGCACUUUAAAGCCUUCAAAAUUUGGCAGAAAGGAGAAUGAGAAGUGUCCGUGAAUAGUAGAAAAACCAGAAGACAAUGGUGUUUUGGAAGCUCUAUGAAGAUUUUUGAAGGAGGGAUUGGUCUGCUAUGAAUUAGUUAAGUGAAAUGAACACUGAGAUGUGUCCAUUGGAUUUUGCAAUGUGAAUGAUCACUGAAGAGGUAGACUAGAGCUAUUUUAGAGCUGUGGGAAUGAAAACCUAUUUGUAAUGGGGUAAGAGAAAAUAGGUAAAGAUGAUCAUGCACAUGGGACCCAGAAAAUUCCUCUGUUGGUACAUACCCAGUAGAAACUCUUACAUGUUUGUAUUUAGUCCUAUUCAAGAAUAUUCAAUGCCAUAUUGUUUGUAAUAGCAAAAUAGCAGAAGAGUGGAUAUUUAUGUUAUAGAAUUUCCUUACAAUGGCAUAUCAAAUAGCCAUGAACAUGAAUAAACUGUUACAUACCAUAUAAAGCACAACUUUGAUCUCAUUUAUGUGAAUUUCAAAUGCAGGUAGAACCAAACCAUGUGCUUUUUAGGGAUAUAUCUAUGAAUGAUAAAACCCCAAAGAAAAUUAAUUAAGUUGCCAUUUUAAUGCAAAGGGUCAACAGAUCAUGAAAAAAAUGUUCAAUAACAUUAAUCAUCAGUUAAAUGAAAAUUAAAACCAUAAUAAGAUACCAUCUCAUUCUGGUUGGAUGGCCUGUUAUGAAAAAUGCAAAGGCUAGCUAACGCUGUGGAAGAUGUGGAAAGAAACUUUUGCACAUUGUUGAUGGGAAUAUAAGUGAACACAGCCAUUGUGAAAACCAGUAUGAAAUUCUUCAAAAAACUAAAAAUAGAACUACCGCAUGAUCUAGACUUCUCACUACUAGGUGUAUAUCCAAGGGAAAUGAAGUCAGUCUUCUAUGAAAGAGACAUCUUUAGUCCCAUGUUAAUUGCAGCACCAUUCACAAUUGCUAAGAAAUGGAAACCAUCUAAGUGUCCUCUGGGGGUACCAAAACGAUGGCCUUUAUUGGAGCUGGAGCAGCAUGAGUCAGGAAGAGUUUCAUUGCCUCAGACACAGUGGGAGUGAGGAAACAGAGCUGGGGACCCUUGCUGUAUGACUCUUGACCUAGGAGUGGCCAUGUCUUGUUUCCCAGUUGCCUAUCUAGAUCCCUGAUGAAGCAGAAGGAACUCUGAUUACAGGAAAAUUCAACAAGAAAGAACCUCAGUGAGGUGAGGACACAGCAGGAAGAUGGGCUUCUAUGAACCAGGAGGAGGGCCCUCACCAGAUGCUCAGUCUCCACAACUGUGAGAAAUAAAUGUUUGCUCUAUCAGCCAGUCCGUGGUUGGUGUUUUCUUGAUAGCAGCCUGAAUAGACUAAGAAACCAAUGUAUGAGACAUAGAACCCUGCAGAUUGGAGUGCGCUCUGAGAAAGCCAUUCUAAGGAUCAAUUCUGCUCCAGUGAGUCAAAUGAAGCAUGUGCAGGCUCAACAACCUAGUAAUUCUGCUCCCAGAACAACUUGCAUGGAUUCAAAAGAGAUCUUUAAAGGUUCUGAGAAAAUAAAGGAUGAACACAAACUGACUUUAUCAAGUUAUUUUUUAUAACACAGAAGAUGUUAAAAAUAUGUGCACACAAAGCAACAUAUAUUUUUGCAAAAAUGCAUACAAACAAAAGAAUGCAAUGGAAGUACAGCAUAACGGCCUGCAGAGGUAGGGAACUGGGGUUAUAUCAGAGGAAUAAGGAGGAUAAACAAAAAACAACAGGGGAGAGUCUGGAAAGUGCCUGUGAUGACAAAAUGGGUCACUACUUAACUCAGCUUCUGAACCUGAGGGUUCUGAACUCAGAGAAACAUGCUUAACAUCAACCUAAGACUCCAUUUUCAAACACAGUUUCUGUUAACAGAUGCACCUCUGUAUUUCUCUCACUUAGUUAAGACCUCUUGCAUUCCUACCCAUUCACUUCAGUAAAGAGAAUUUUUUAGUUAACAACAAUAAUGUUGGAUAUGAAACAGUAUACAGAUUUCAUACUUUCUCAACAUAUUAUAGCACUUGCCAUUGUUCAAAAAUUUUUUAGCUAAGGAGGUUUAGAUUAUUUUUCUUAUUACAUUGAGAAGGUUUUGUGAUAUCACAGGGUUGGGGGAGUAAAGGAGAUAUUGGAGGAUAUGUGCUGAUCCAGGUUCAUUCUAACAUUCCUUAAAAAAUAGCUGUUGUUAUUUUCUCUUUCUUUCUUUCUUUCUUUCUCUCUCUCUCUCUCUCUCUCUCUCUCUCUCUCUCUCUCUUUCUUUCUUUCUUUGACAGGCAGAGUUAGACAGUGAGAGAGAGAGAGAGAGAGACAGAGAGAAAGGUCUUCCUUCUGUUGGUUCGCCCCCCAAAGCCAGGUGCCUCCUCCUGGACUCCCAUGUGAGUGCAGGGCCCAAGCAUUUGGGCCAUCCUCCACUGCACUCCCUGGCCACAGCAGAGAGCUGGACUGGAAGAGGAGCAACCGGGACAGGACCAGCGCCCCAACUGGGACUAGAACCUGGGGUGCCGGUGCCGCAGGUGGAGGAUUAGCUUAGUGAGCCGCAGCGCCAGCCAGUUGUUAUUUUCUUUUUUCUUUUUCUUUUUUUUUUUUUGACAGGCAGAGUGGACAGUGAGAGAGAGAGAGAGACAGAGAGAAAGGUCUUCCUUUGACGUUGGUUCACCCUCCAAUGGCCGCCGCAGCCAGCGCGCUGCGGCUGGCGCACCGCGCUGAUCCGAUGGCAGGAGCCAGGAGCCAGGUGCUUUUCCUGGUCUCCCAUGGGGUGCAGGGCCCAAGCACCUGGGCCAUCCUCCACUGCACUCCCUGGCCACAGCAGAGAGCUGGCCUGGAAGAAGGGCAACCGGGACAGAAUCCGGCGCCCCAACCGGGACUAGAACCCGGUGUGCCGGCACCGCAAGGCGGAGGAUUAGCCUAGUGAGCCGCGGCGCCGGCCCAGUUGUUAUUUUCUAAGAGGCUCUGAAUUUAAAAGAAUGGAAGGAUACAUAUCAAUAUGUAAACAUUAAUUAUUGGUUGGGGGGGGUAUAUUGCCAGAGAAAAACUAUGCAUGAUUUAAUGUUAGUUGAAAAUAUAGAUUAUAAACAUCAUCUAUGAUAUUACCAUGAAUAUGAUGCAGUUGAGUCUGUUGUGGGAUAGGAAUAGAUGUAAUAUGAAGAAUUUACAGUUGAUUUGAGAAAGAAAUGAAAGUUUAUGAAAACUAUAAAGGUUCAUUUUUGAUCAAAUCAAACCAAUACAACUGUCAUUUCUUCCCUUUUAAAAUAACUGGAAUUCUGUACUUUUUUAUUGGAAUCUGAACUUAGUUUUUGAGUGAAGACUUAUGGACAUCUUGGCAGAACUAUUACCCAACCAAGUUUUGUUUUCCUGUAUUGGGGCAGUCCUGUAUUUUAGUUUUAAGAAAAUUUUCAUUAUUUAACUUCAGUAUUACACAAUAGGUCUUCAUUAAUAUAUUAGCAAGAUAAAAUCGACCUUUUUGAUUGGCACUGCUUAUCUCAUAUAUUUUAAAAAUACUAGAAAUCUUAAAAUUUUGUCUAAUUUUAAAAAAUGUAUGAUCAUACAAAAAAAGUAGUUCUGGUGCAGUCUGUCUUUUCCAUCAUGGAAAUAUUGUGUUGGAAUUUGGGGAGCAAUAAGCUAGGAUAUCUUGACUUCAAUUUUUACCUUUAAAUAAGGGGCUGAGAUAGAAAGAGUGGUUAUAGAAUUAUCCAUUUGUUUCAUGGGAAAACUCAUUAUUCUCCUCCCCCUCUCUUCUCCUUAGCUACCCAUUCCAUCAGACACUGAUGUAGCAGGUCUGGGGCAGAGCUCAGGAAUCUGCAAAGUUAUUUGGGUGCAGGUAAUCAAAAAUCAUGUUUUUGGAAAUAGAGGAAAUGAUUCACAAAAUUCUUUCCACCUUUAUUUUAUGCUAGAAAAAAUUUUAUCCAACUUACCAUGUUUUCACUCAUCUCCCUUAAAUCUUUAAAUUGAUAUGUGCUGUUUUGUCCAAAAUUGUUACUGACUUGUAGAUGUGACAUUUUAAAGGUGCCAUGAUAGUACUCCAUUUUUUGGCCUGUGACGAGAGUGAAAAGUGGGAGAACUAAGUGGUUUGGUUGAAGAUGUCCGAAUCUAAGACUCAAUGUAAUGGGGAUUGUAUGAAGCCUUGAAUGUACUUCUAAGCUGCUUUCUAAUUGAAUGUUGUAAAAAUAAUAGACAUCAUAAUGUGCUAAGUUAAUAACAGUAGUUGAUAUUUAUUGAGUGCCUACUAUUUGCUAUGUACUGUUCUGAAUAUUUUACAUGUUGUAACUUAUAUGGUCCUCAGGUUAGCUUUCUAAGAUUGACAUCUCCAUCAUUUUAAAGUUGAAGAAAGUAAGGCACAGGAUCAUUAAAUAACUUAGACACAUGUUGGCUUAAGAGCUUGAACAUUUCUUUACUAUAUUGCCCACUGCUGAAUUGAAAUGUGUAUUCCAAAUACGAUCAGCCUUUGUAUUCAUGGAUUCAAUCAACUGUUUGUGAAAAAUAUUAAAAAAUAAAUUGCCUCUGUUAACCAGACACUGAGAAGGAUAUAAGGGAGGGAGAAUUGGGAGAAGUUGGUUAAUGGAGAUAAAAUUACAGGAGUGUUAAUUGCAAUUAACAAUAAUUUACUAUGCAUUUCAAAAGAGCUAGAAAAGAGGACUAUGUUCCCAACACAAUGAAAUGAUAGAUUUUGGGGUGAUGGAUAGUCUAAUUAUCCUAAGUUGACACUCCUAUAGUAUAUACAUGUAUUGAAAUGUCACACUGUACCCCAUAAACAUGUACAAUGAUUGUAUAUCAAUUAGACAAAUGAAUAAAUUGGGUCUCUGAUGAACAUGUUAAGACUUUUUUCUUGUCAUUAUUUCCUAAACAAUACCAUAUAAAAUCUAUUUAUGUAGCAUUUACGUGGUAUUAGAUAUUCAGAAUAACCUAGAGAUGAUUUAAAGUAUACAGGAUACUGUGCACAGGUACUAUGCAAGCAUUGUUUUAUUUUACAUAAGGGACAUGAGCAUCCACCAAUUUUAAUAUACUGACGUGGUCCUGGAACCAGUCCUCUGCAGAAACUGAGGGAUGACUGUACUCUACUGAAAACAGAGGUAAAGGACCAUCUUUGAAAAUUUUAAUUUGUGAUGAAAGAACCAGGCACACUAAAAAAUGAUGGUAAGAAAGACCAGGGAAAAGGCUGUCUGAAGGUAAAGUUGAAAAUAGUGGGUCACACAGGUAAGUUGAUCAGAUCUCUGCUUGGCUAUCAAGAAAGACAGACAAGAAGAGCAAGCAGUGGAGACUCCUGGGAAUCUGGUUAUCUUAAGGCCCGGAAAAGGCAAGAAAGCUGAAAAGAGUUAACAAUAGAGAUCAACACCCUUGAUCCCUGCACAACGUGGCUCAGGGAGGAAGCAAUGGGUUUCCUGAUCAUAGAUUUAGAAAAGAAACAAGGGUCUUAGGAUGGACAGUCUCCUAACUGGGACAUUACUGGGCCCUGCAAUGCUUUUUGGUUCCCUUAACUAAGUAAUAAUACUAUACUAUACUAUACUAUACUAUACUCCAUGCUGUUAUCAAGUCACAUUCUCAUUUUAUAAAGGAUUUUAUGAAACCAAAUUAGCUGCCCUGAGAAUCUUUUGUCACUGUUGUAAACUAUGUGAUUGUUAUAUCAUUGGAGGAUAACAACUGACAAAACCAUUGAAGUAAGCAGUUUUAGAUAAUAAUUGUACUAUACUUCCACGUGAGAGUGACAUUGUGGGAAUUUGUUAAAAAAUGUAAAUGCUUUUUACUUUCCUCAGAGAUGCAAUAUGAAAAGAAAGAAUUCUGAAAUGAUUUAUUUGUGUGAUUAAAAACAUACUAGCGAAUAAAGAUACAGUCCUUUGCUGUUGUUUGGGGACUAAGAAGUGAAUUAGAAGACCGAUGACCACUGCCACCACUAUCAGUGAUAACACAACCAGAAGGGUGAUCAUCCAUGGCUGCAGGGCUCUCCUUCGGGUACCAAAUCCAACUGCCCUGCAGAAAGAAAAGCCCACAAGUUACUCUCGCGUUAUAGUUAUAGUGGUUAUUGGCUUUUUUUGUUCUCCUUGAAAAGUUGUAAUUUCUCUUGCCCUUGCCAGCAAGACACUUGUUUACAAUUUUGAUCCGGGUUAUCUUGACCUGAUGGAGAUUGUUACAAGCAUCAGGAUGUAGGAUGGAUAUGUUGCUCUUGGUUUCUAUUUCUAGAGGCAUGUGGUAACCCUGUCUGACUUCUCUCAGUGGAGUGGUCCAAUGUAGUUCAGGUGCUUGAAAAGAGGACCAUUCCUCCUUUCUCCAAUGCUGUUACUUAUUUCUUUAUUUGUUCAUCUAAAUUUUAGAGUUUAGGAAUUGAUUUUAAAUCUAUUUCUCAUUCACUUUUUAUCUAUUAUCUUUACUGUGAAAUCUUUCAGACACAUAGAAAAUUAGAAAGAAUAGUAUAAUAGGACACUCAUAUUCAUCAAAUCACUUUAUCAGCUGUUAACAUUUUUACAGAAUUUACUUCAUUCAUUCUCUGAUGUGCAUUUUAAUGUGAAAUAGACAGCAAGUUUCUUCAGCAAAUAAUUAUUAUAAUCAAUUAGGACAUUUCCAACAAAAUCACAUAAUUAACAUUCCUAAAAUAUUAAUAACAUUACUCCAAUAUCUCAUAAUACUCAAUCUUCUAAUUUUCUUUAUUGUCCUUGUUAUAUUUAUAUAUUGUUUUAACAAACCAGAAGAGCCAAGGACCAAUGUAGUACACUUGAUUGUAAUGUCUUUUAAGUCUCUUUUGUAACUUAUGCACAGCAAAUGAAAAAUUUCCAAUUAUAAUCUACAAAAUGGGGGAAAAUAUUUGGGAGGUCUACAUUCUGACAAUGAGUUAAUAUCCAGACUCUAUUGAGAACUCAAAUAAUUCAAUGGCAAAAUGGAAAUAACCUAAUUAAAAUGGUAGUAGAUCCGAACAGACAUUUCUGAAGAGAAGACAUAGAAAUGAUCAACUGGUAGGUGAAAAAAAAUGUUCAACAUUACUAAUUAUCAGUCAAAUUCAAAUCAAAAGUACAAUGAGAUACUAUCUCACUCCAAUUAUAUUGGCUGUUAUCAAAAAGACAAGUGUUGGUGAGGAUACAGAGAAAGGGGAAAUCUUGUAUGCUGUUGAUGGGAAUGUAAAUUAGAAUACCAUUGCGGAAAACAGAUGAAGAUUUCUCAAAAAGUGAAAAGUAGAACUACUGUAUUAUUCAGUAAUCCCACUACUAGUUAUGUGCCCACAGGAAAUGAAAUCAGUCUCUUGAAGAGACAUCUGAAUGCCCAUGUCUCUUGCAAUACUAUUCGCAGUGACUAAAAAAAAUGGAUGCAGUGUAAGUGCCCAUUCACUGAUGAAUGGAUAAUGUAAAUGUGGUACAUCUGCACAAUAGAAUAUUAAUCAAUCAUAGAAGAGGAUUAAACAUUGUCAUUUGUGACAUGGUAAGUGAAAUAAUCUAAGCACAGAAAGAUUAGUAUCACAUGAUCUCACUCAUGUAGAGUUAAAGAAAAAAAGAUGAACUCACAGCAUUCGAAAAUAUAAAGGUGGUUACCAGAGUGGGGAGAGAGGGAUUGGGGAAGGUUGAUUAAUGGGUACUUAGUUAUAACUAGGUAGAAGUAAGAAAUUAGGAGGUUCUUUUGCAUAGUAUAGUGAUUGUAGAUAAUGAUUCAGCAUUACACAUUGUUAAAAAUUUUAAAUAAAAAAGAAAAGAAUGCUCCACUCUCUGAACCUGUUUGAUUGCUUUUUUGUUAUAUUUGACAUGUUCUUCUAUCUCUUUCAUUUCCUGUGCACUGGAAUUUAGGUCCAACACCUAGGUUAGAUUUUUGAAAAUUCAUAUGUGGUGUUAUGCUCUUUUUUUCUGUGUCACACCAGUAAUAUAGAACAUUUCCACAAUUUUGGAGGAAAAAUAGCUUCACUUUUUUUCUAGCACCUUAUGAUCAUCACAUUGUGUCAAGUAUUUGUUUGCAGCUAUGUUCAUCCACAGUUGACUGGAACUCCUCAAUGGGCUGUCCAUCUUUUUACAUUAACACCUAAUACCUUUCCUGGCACAGAGCAGGAACUUUAUAUUCUAUGAGAAUCAGGCAGGUUUAUACCAGUGUUACAUGUGAAACAACAAAGGCUGAGUGAGUAGCUACCAAACUUGCUAAUGUCAAGUGUCUUAGAAGGACCAGAGUUAUCCAACUCUAAUGCCCAUUCCUUUCAACUUGCUAUUGUGAUGAAUUUUAACUACUUUAUCAAAGGUUAUCUUAUCACAUAUGUAUAUUGAUAGCCCAGAUUCUUUGGGAGCAGAAUAUAUUUUGCAUAUCUCCUUCACAGAAUUUAUUGCAAUGCUUUGUACUAAACAGAUUUUUUUGAAAUUAUUGGUUGAUUUUAUAGGAGCUUUCCUGUCAAAUAUAAAAAUAUUUUUAUACGUAAAUAGUAAGAUAAAAGGUACAAACUAGAUCUAGGCAGUUAAGAUGAUGAUUUGGCCAUAAGUAAUAAUUUUAGCCAACAUACUUAGUGAAACUUGGAUACCUGAAUUCUAGCUGGUAUGGAGAAUAUGUUCCAAAUGUGUAUUGACUGAUUAAAAAGAAUCUAGUAGGCUUGGGCAUUAAGCCUAGUAGUUAGGACAUUGCUUAAGAUGUCCAUAUCCCACAGUGAGGUGCCUGGGUUUGAUUACCCCAGCUCCAGCUUCUGAUUCCAGCUCCUGGUCAAUGCAGAUCCUGAAAGGCAGUGGUAAUGAUUCAAAUAAUUUGAUUCCACCACUCACAAGAGAGACUUGUAUUGUGUUCACCAGGUCCCAGCUUCAGCUCUACCCAAUCUCUAGCCAUUUUGGUAAUUUGGGGAAUGAACCAGAUAGGAGCACACUCUCUCUCGCUCUUGCUCUCUCACCAUCUCUGUAUCUCUUUGUCUCUCUAUCUCAGAAUCUCAAAUAAACUAAGAUAAAAAAAAUAGAGAACUGUUUGUAGAAAGUCAGUGUGUCCUCUGAGAACAAAGGCUAAUGCUAAUAUAACAAACAGAAGCAUCGUGUGAUGUGGCAUUACUUAACCUUUCAUAUAGCUUAAAGCCUACAUUCAGAAGUGAAGGAUACCUUAUAUAUUACUUAGUAUAAUUUAACCACUUUCCAAACAAAGAAACUGAUGUCCAAAUACGAUUAAGUGACCUCUGUAAUAUAAUAAAAUAAUCAUCUCAGACUCAAGUCUUCUAACUUCUAGGACAUAAGUUUAUUCUCAGAUCCAGAUUCCCUUGCCAUGGAUGCUAUUUGGUUAAUUAUUGAGGACAUUUAUCUGUUACGUAUUUAUCUAUUCAUAGAAUCCUACAUUCUCUAUUGGUGUGAUUCUUCAUUUUCUCAGAGAAUCCUCUCUGUAUGUCUAAGCUAUUUGAAAAUGAAAACUGUCCAAAGGAGAAAGGUUAGAACUCAAAGGUAUUCACAACUUUUAAACCAAUCUCCCUGUUACAGCACAGCUGAUCAUGGUGAACAGGCAGGGGAAGUAGAUGAUAGGAGUUCACAGUCCCCACUGUCCAGACACAGAAACUCAUGGUGUAAUGGGCUGAACCAUGGUAUCCUUAGCAGAAGAGCAACUCGGCAGUCAUUGAUACACUGCUCAAGUGCAUGGCAGUGGCACCUUCAGUCCCAUAGAAACAGCUGUGACCACCUGGAGGAAAAUGCUGACAGACAACCCAGGGAGAUAAGCAUCCAUCAAAAUGUUUCUCCUCUUGGAGAAUACAGCCUGCACCCAGGCCAAGUGACAAAAGCUUAGGAAACGUAGGUCAAGGCUGUGGGCACCUGAUUGUUUAUGGGUAAACUUUCAACUUACUACCAACUUUUAUAGACAUAAAUAAGCAAUUCAUGCAAACAGAAAUGUGCCAUCACCUUCCCAUCCUGUGGAGGUUAUUAUUUCUUUGCCUACUUUUACUUUGGAUUGGAAAAGAAAUGCACUUAAUAAAGCCCUUUGGAAUCUUGCCUAUUUAUAAGUAGGUAGGCACCAUUUUGCCCUUGAAUAUCUAUCAGACGAAGGUGUAUUAUAAUCGUAAGCUUGGCUACUUAAAGCAAUACCCAUGUAUUAGCUCACAAUUCUGUAUGUUGCAUGGUUGGGCUCUGCUGAGGAUCUCACAGAGCUGAAAUCAAGGUGUUGGUUGGGUCUGCUCUUUCAUAUGAGACUUGCAAUCCUCUUCCAAGCUCACUCAGCUAUUAGGCAGAAUCCAGUGCCUUUAACCCAUUCUCCUCCUGGCUUACAGUUAAGGGGCUCCUCUUAGCCUCUGGAUUUCUUCCACUCUUUACCAGGGGACCCAUGCCAUCUUUAGACUCAUUGAAGAAAAUUUCCCUCACAUCGAAUUUCUCUCACCUGCUCAUGUUUUUCUCUAGGUAAAGUCCAGUCCCUUUUAAGAUGUCACUGGAUUACAUUGGGUUCACUAAGGAUAAUCUCUUCCAUGUAAAAGUCAAGCUGAUUGGGGAUAUUAAUUACAUCUUCAGGGGCCGGUGCCGUGGCUCACUUGGUUAAUCCUCUGCCUGCGGCACCAGCAUCCCAUAUGGACACCAGGUUCUAGUCCCAGUUGGGGCACCGGAUUCUGUCCCGGUUGUUCCUCUUCCAGUCCAGCUCUCUGCUGUGGCCUGGGAGGGCAGUGGAGGAUGACCCAAGUGCUUGGGCCCUGCACCCACAUGGGAGACCAGGAGGAAGCACCUGGCUCCUGGCUUCGGAUCGGUGUAGCUCCGGCCAUAGUGGCCAUUUGGGGAGUGAACCAAUGGAAGGAAGACCUUUCUCUCUGUCUCUCUCUCUCUCUCACUGUCAAAAAAAAAAAAAAGUCAAGCUGAUUGGGAAUAUUAAUUAUAUCUUCAAACUCCUCUCAUAGCAACAUCUAGGUUACUGUUUGAUUGAAUUGCUGGAGAAUGUGUAAGUACACCAGAAGGUGGGAAUUUUGAAGGCUUUCAGAAUUCUGCCUACCACAACUGAAAAUAUGACUUUCAUGAAAAUAGAAACCUGCAGCCUUCAAAGAAAUUUUGUGACAUUUAAAUCUUUAAUUUUUGUAAGGAGUGGUGCUUGUGAACUCUUCCAUGAAAAGAAAAUUCUAUGCUGGCAUAGAAUUGCAAGAUUAAGGGAUGUUUUAAUCAAGUCAUACUUUCAGGAGUACAAAGUGAACCCUUAGAAAUUAAAAUGGUAAGAAAGCUACAUGUAAUCCCAGAUCAUGACCUAAUUGGCACUCUGCAUUCUUUUAAGGAAAGGGCAAGUACAGAUGAUCUUAUUCUGAGUAAUACAACCUAUAAUCUCUUGUAAAUCCAAUUUAUCAUAUCCAUUACACCUUCAUUAUGUUUGAUGAUUCAGUAUUUCAAAGGGUGUAUUCCUGACACAUUUUUCUAGAGAUGUUAAUGAAAACAUGGAUAAAUUUGAGUGAUUCUGUGACUUUGCUUUCUCAUAUCUUACUUACUGAAAGAUAAACACUUUGAGGAACGUGUGGAAGAGCAUGAAUUUUCAAUAAACAGAGCUGGGACAUGCAGUUUCCUCCCAUCUUUAAGCUGGUGGCUUUCAUACCUGAGUCCAAAGAAAUUCUGAAUUAAGUGGAAGACAUCCUGGACCCCCUACUCCUCAGGGAUCUUUCUGAUCCCAGAAAAGCCUUCCCUGAUAGGCAACUGCUCUACUACUCUGCUUCCAGCUACAGUUCUCUUAUCAUAUUACCUACAUGUGCCAAAGUUUUCCUUUCACGAUUAUUUUUCUGCUCUCUUGUAGAUGGAUAUAAGGUACCAUUAUACACAUGUAGAUGCAUGUGAUGCUUAUACAAAUGCCCAUUUACAGGUAGGUUAUAUUACAUAAAACUUCAUUAAACAGCUUUUUCAAGUUCAAAAUAUACUAUCAUCUAAAAAGGCAUUGUUGGUCAGCUUCCCAGGCCAACUCAUGUACUUCUAAUGUAACUGAAAAGAGAACCCAUUCAAGUUGACUGGGGUACAUCUCUGAAGGAAACUUCCUAAAGAACCAGAAUGGUAGGGCUGGGAUUGUGGUGUAGCAGGUAAGGCUGCUGUGAUGCUGGCAUCCCAUAUGAUUGUUGGUUCGUGUCCCUGAUGUUCUACCGCUGACCCAGAUCCCUGCUGACUAACUGGGAAAAGGAAUGUGAGAAGUCCUAAGUACCUGAGCUCCUAAGACCCAUGUGGGAGACCCAGAGGAAGCACCUGGAUCCUUGCUUCCACCCAGCCCAGCCCUGGCUAUUGAGACCAUUUGAAGAGUGAACUGGUGGAUGGUAGGCUCCCUCUCUCUGUCUCUCCCUCUUUCUGCGUAAUUCUAUCUUUCAAAUAGAUAAAUACAUCUUUUUUUUUUAAAGAACAGAAAUGUUAACUCCUCUUUAAUCAAUGUAAAUUAUAUUUCUCUCUGAGCAGGUGAACUCAGUCAUUUGCUAUAUGAAAAACAACCUUUUAUGAUGACUUAAUAUACUCUGAUAUUUGAAUGUUUGUGUACUCUUUGACUUUUAGAGAAUCAUCAUUUAGUACCAAAAAUGAUAAGAACAAGAGAUACUAUUGGGGCUGGCACUAUGGGCCAUGCCUCCACCUGUGGUGCCAGCAUCCCAUAUGGGCACCUGUUUGUGUUCUGGCUGCUACUCUUCUGAUCCAGCUCUCUGCUAUAUCAUGGGAAAGCAGUAGAAGAUGGCCUAAAUGCUUAGGCCCCUGUACCCACAUGGGAGACCUAGAAGAAUCUACUGGUUCUUGGUGUCAGGUCGGCCCAGCUCUGGCAAUUGUGGCCAUUUGAGGAGUGAACCAGCUGAUGGAAGACCUCUCUCUCUCUCUCUCUCUGUAACUAUCUCUCAAUUAAAUAAAUAAAAUAUUUUUAAAAAGAGAUACUAUUUAGGAAGUGACAACUUUAUGGGGAUUGUUGAUACCAACAACCUCUCUAUAAAAUGUGUUCAAAAUAAUCACAGAAAACUCAUAUUAUGAAAAAAAGUAUGCCUGUAUAUUUUUGGACUCAAACUCACACUAACUUGUAAUGACAUGCCUGAGGCACUUAGAAGUAUGAGGAGUCAGCUGAAAAGAGCCCCAAUCAGAGUAACAUGAACCUUAUUAAAACUGAAACAAGAAAAAACAUCAACUUUGUGGUGAAGCUUGAAUGGAAAAAUGAGGAGCCCACCGAUACUUUGUGAAAAAUUUAUAGAGAUAAUGCUCCAAAAUGAUCAGCCACUUACAAAUAGAUACUUCAUUUCAAAAAGUGACAGGACAGCCGGCGCCGCAGCUCAAUAGGCUAAUCCUCCGCCUGUGGCACCGGCACACCGGGUUCUAGUCCCCGGUCGGGGCGCUGGAUUCUGUCCCGGUUGCUCUUCUUCCAGGCCAGCUCUCUGCUAUGACUCUCUCUGUGCAGCGGAGGAUGGCCCAAGUCCUUGGGCCCUGCACCAGCAUGGGAGACCAGGCGAAGCACCUGGCUCUGGGCUUUGAAUCAGCAUGGUGCGCCGGCCGCACUGCGCCAGCCGCGGCAGCCAUUGGAGGUUGAAUCAAUGGCAAAAGGAAGACCUUUCUUUCUGUAUCUCUCUCUCACUGUCCACUCUGCCUGUCAAAAAAUAAAUAAAUAAAAAAAAAUGUGACAGGACAAUGUUGAAAAUUAAGCCUGCAGUUUCAGAUCAUCCACAUCUAUUUGUGAGGAAAAAAUUAAUCUCACUGGUGCCCUAACUGAAGAUGAUUCACAACUAACAGCAGAAACAGUAAAUACAGCAGACGACACCUCAAAUGGUCCCACUUACAAAAUUCUGCUUGAAAAUCAAAGCUGAGCAAGCAUUCAACUCAGUGGGUACCAAAACUGCUGUGCUCAGGUAGCCUGCAGACAAGAGCAGAGAUUUUAAGAGAAAUUUUAAGCAAGGGAGAUCCAGAUCCUGAAGUAUUUCUUUGAAGAACUGUGACAGGGGAUGAAACAUGGUUUCUGUCGCUCCCCCUCUUCGUGGAGGAACGACACUAAACCCUGCCUAGGCUUCAUAUCCGAGUCACGGCACCAUUAUGUCGCUCCCCCUCUUCAUGGAGGAACGACACAGGACCCUGCGCUGUUCUUUCGUCUGCUCGGCCCUCCCCGGGUUUGCUGCUGGUCCUUCCUGGGUUGGCUGCUGGUCCUUCCACCUCCGUGGAAGGGCGGUUCCCCCUGCCACAUUCCCCACUUCCGCGGGGGAGCGGCACACCGCCGGCCGGCUCUCUCGGGGGCUGCACAGGUGUUCCCCUUAGAUGUUCCCCUUAGAUGUUCCCCUUAGAUGUUCCUGGUGCAUGCCGUCUCUCUCCUCCUUUAUAGUCCUCCUCUGCCAAUCCCAACUCGGCUGCCCACACGCCAAGUACGCUGCUCUCCUCCAAUCAGGAGCAAGUCCUACAGUUUAUUGGCUGAACUGGAGGCAGCUGCGUAGAAGCUGUUUUCUUCUCUCCCAGCGCCAUAUUGUGGGAGAGCAGAUGCAUAGAAUAAGUCUUAAUUCCAGUAACUUAGUCUAGUCCGAGUUGCUCCCCACAGUUUCCAAGUGUGAUCAUGAAUGCAAAGCAUAAGCAAAGCCAUGGCUACCAAGAGGGAAAGUGGACUAGUCAAAGCAAAAGCAGAUAGAUCGGGGUGCAUGUUUGAUCUAGUAGGUAAAGGUUGAGAUGCAUCUGGGUUCAAUUCUAAGAUCUGGCUUCUGAUUCCAACUUUUUGUUAAUAUGGAUCCUGGGAGGCAGCAGGUGAUGACUUAAAUUAAUUAGGUUAUAAGCACCCACAUGGGAGAUCUGGAUCAUGUUCCUGGCUCCAAACUUUGGCCUGUCCCAGACCUGGAAAUUGAGAGUAAACCAGCGAAUCGGAGCCCUUUCUGUCUGAGUCUAUCACUCUGCCUCUGAGAAGGAAAAUAAAAAAAAAAAAAAACAGACUGGUUAAGAACAAAGUCAUGGCACCAGAUUUUUGACUUUCUGGAGGGACAAGGAAUGGCACUGCUUAUUAUGAGUGUUUUGAGAAUGUUGGCUAAAGCUGCCGACAAAAACAACUGGGAAAACCUUGACCACAUGUGUUUGGUCAUUGCUUUCAUCGACAAAGGCAGUUUUGUGAGAUCUUCAGAGUGAAAUCAUUAGGCACUCCUUAUGACUCCUUUUUGAUUCAUAAUCUUAGAAUAUGCAUUGAGGGGCAGGUGUUUGGUUUAGAAAUUAAGCUUCCAAUUGGGACAUCUGCAACCCAUGUUAGAGUGCCUGAGUCAGUCAUGGAUCUGCUUCCAAUUAUAGUUUCCUGCUAAUGUGCACCCUGGGAGGCAGCAGGGGAUGGCUCAAAUGGUCAGGCUGCUGCUUCCUAUGUGGGAGACCUGGAUUGAGUUUCUGGGUACUGGCUUCAGGCGUGGCCCAGCUCUGACUGUUGCAGGUAUUUUGAGAGUGAACCAGCAAUGAGGAGCUCACUCUCUGUCUCUCUGCCUCUAGAUCUCUCAAAUAAAUAAAUAAAUGAAUACAUAAAUAUUUAAAAGGCACCCAUUUUUAUUCAGUUAUAAUGUAAAGAGGACUGAAAUGACAUGCCAAAUUCCCAGAACUCUCAGAUCUUUAGGGAUAGACUAAAUGGAUACGGUUCUCACUUCCAAAAGUUUCUUGAGCUUGACAGAGCCUAUGUUGAGUAAUAGAGUUUAUAUUUAAAAAUUUUACCUUCUAAUUUCAUUUUCCAUGAACCUUUUAAAAUUCCCUCAUAUGUUGUCACAUCUUAUAUUUCAAAUAUCCUUGUCAGCAGAGUUAUUUUUGGUCAUUUUAUAGAUGAGCAACUUGCUCUGAGAGAGAAGUAAUUUUGCUGAGUUCCUACAGCCAGGAGGCAGUUAACCUCACUCUGGGGGACUCUGACUCCAAAGCCCAUUCUUUUGAGAGACUUUUUUUUUUUCAGAACAAUCCUCCUAUUAAUGCAACUGAAUAAUUUGCGGAAUUUCAAGCAGUAUAGAAGGUAGGGAAAAGACUUAUGAAAUGAUGGUAGAGGUUCCACCAACCAGAAGUUCCACUAAUCUUCAUUGUGUUUAAGUCUCGAAUUUGAUUUUCCUUUGUUAUCUUCUCCAUUUCUAUUGGUUUUAAAUUUGCAUGUACUUUCAAAAAAAAAAAACAAAAAAAUUUGCAUGUACUUUCAAAAAAUUAGGAUUCCCUUCCUUCCCCUCCCCAGAGUAGUGGGCCAAGGUAACCUGGAGGGAAGGAGGGCUGUGAGGCAGGUGUGUAUAGGGAAAAUUAAUGACCAUAUUGGGAUUGACUGUAAACUUUGGAGGAUUUUAGCAAAUUUGAUGCCUUUUUUCUAUGCUGUCAAGAAUUCUCUGUAGAUUUCAAUUAUUGAUAUGUCACUUGUGGACAUUAUCUUCUUCUAAAGUCUGAAAGAACUUGAAGAUAGUGAAUAACUCAUACAAAGCAUUGUAGUAUUUCUUAAGCCAUGUCACAAGUAGUAGGGAAAAGGGGACUUUUCUGUAUUUAAGUGGGUUUGGAAAAACUGGUUUAAAUAAAGUUAAAUAAGAUCUCACCACUGAAAGUCUUAAAGCCUUUAGUACUUUCAAAUGGGAGUAAAGGCUUUCUGUCUUUUUUUUUUUUUUAAGAUUUAUUUAUUUGAAAGGCAGAGUUACACACACACACACACACACAGAGAGAGAGAGAGAGAGAGAGAGAGAGAAGGAGACACAAAGAAAGCUUUCCAUCCUCUGGUUUACUCUCCAGAUGACCAGAAUGCCUCGGGCUGGAUCAGGCUGAGCAGGAGUCAGGAACUUCUUCUUGGUCUCUCCCAUGGGUGGCAGGGAUCCAAGCACUUGGGCCAUCUUCUGCUGCUUUCUCAGGCCAUUAGCAUGGAGUUGGAUCAGAAGUAGAGCUUCCAAGAUUCGAACCAGUGUUCAAAAGGAAAGCUGGAGUUGCAAGUCUUGGCUCAAUUUGUAUCACAGCGCCAGCCACCAGUCUUGGUUUUUUAUAUCCAAGCAUGGAUACAACUCAAGUGUCUCCUACACCACCUAGAUCUUUGUCACUUGAUAUCUUUGUCACUGUUUGUGACAAAGGUUUCCAAAUAUACUUCUUGCUGUCACCUCUCCUGAUAUUUCCUGGACUCCUCUGUCUCAUAGAGCAGUUUUGAGAAUGUGGCUAUAGCUGCAGUCUCACCAGUAUGGUGCUUCGUGGAAUACUUCAUUGUCAAGAAGGUUAGCAACAGAAAGGGGGAAUUCUGUAUCUCAUUUCCAGGAACAAGUGGGAGUGAGGGUGGGCCAAAAAGGUACAAAAUAGAGUAAAAUAUGUGAAUUUAGGCCAAAUAUGAUUUUCUGUGUGAAAUGGUAUAUACAUUGAGGUUAGGGAGGAGCUCAGGGAAAUCAGAAUAGGAAAAUCAGGAACUUUGUAUCCGCAAAGCCUUUCUUAAAGAGUGUGGUACUUAGUCACUGAAUUACUGAUAGAGCAUAAUCACAUGCUAGUUUGAAUUAAAGCAAUAUUAUUGGGGCCAGCACUGUGGCAUAGUGGGGAAAGCUGCCGUCUGCAGUGCUGGUAUCCCAUGUGGGCGCCAGUUUGAGUCCCAGCUACUCCACUUCUGAUCCAGCUCUCUGCUAUGGCCUGAGAAAGCAGUGGAAGAUGGCUCAAAUCCUUGGGCCCCUGCACCUGCAUGGGAGACCUGGAAGAAGCUCCUGGCUUCAGAUUGGCACAGCUCCGACCAUUGAAGCCAAUUGGGGAGUGAACCAGCAGAUGGGAGACCUCUCUCUCUGCCUCUCCUUCUUUCUCUGUGUAACUCUGACUUUCAAAUAAAUAAAUAAUUUUUUUUUUUUUAGAAAAAGCAACAUGAUUGAAUUGACUUUUAAUUGGGGGUGAUAAAGCAUUGAUGAUAAGUACCCAAUCUUUGGAGUCAGACUAUUUGAGUUCAAGUCCCAUUCAUGUCACUUGUUAGCUCCACAGUGUAAGACAAGGCACUUGGCUUUUUGAGUCUUAGUUCUUCCAUUUGUAAAAUGCAGAUAAAACCAAUAUCUUAACGUAUUAACACACAUAAAGUUACUGGCACAUAGUGAAUAAUAUGUAAACGCGAUCGUUUAUCAUUCUCUGUGGUGUUGCUUAUAAACUUGAUAGAAAUCAGCCAUGCUGAGAAAAUGAUGUGGUGAAAACAGCAGUUUGGAUUUUAAGAUUAUCUCAGGGUUGCCCCACAGCACGUUGCUUAGAUAGGUAGGGUUCCAGAAAGUCUCCAAAAUAUUUUUGAUGCAACAUAAAUUAGCAAAUAUGUCUUCCGCUGUGACCAAAAGUGCCACAAUAAAGUGGAAAUGCCAUUUAAUAAGUAGAAUAUUAAUAAGGGUGUAAGGAUUUCAUUCACAAAACAGAGCCCAUUACACAAUGUUCUACUUUGCUGGCAAAGAUAGGUCGUGCCUAAUGUUGUUAUAUUGCGUGUGUGUGUGAGUUUAGUCUUAACAUGUUUUUGGCCCAAGUUUCAGUCCCACCCACUAAAAUUUGUAAGGUGUGUAUUAAAUUGCAGGUGAAAGCCCAGAUUGGAAUAAUACAUAUACAUAUAUAUGUAUAUAUAUAAAAUGAAUUGUUUAUAUUAAA